GGCACAGUGAUGUAGUGGUUAGCACGUUUGCCUCGCACCGCCAGGGUUGAGGGUUUGAAUCCCGCCUCUGCCC